UGGAAAUUGUAAAUUAUUGUGUUUGAUUGUAUAAAUUUUUCACGUGGAAAAUGUUGAAGUAAAAGUAUUUUUUGAUGUUCGUUUGACUUUGUUUUACGUGGAAAUUGUCAAUUUCAGGGAUAUCCUCUUUUACAAUUAUUCCUAAAAUUUGUUCCCAUUGCCAACAAUUAAAAAAAAAAUAAAAAAAGCUAAAAAAAAAAUAAAAAAAAAGGUGGAAAACCAAAAACCACCUAUCCCCUAGGAAAAAAAAGGUGGAAAAUCACGCUUUAAGGUGUUGUACCUAGAAAUUCAUGGAAAAUCAAUUCCCUGGAAAAUUUUGUCAAUCAAACAGGCCAAAAGUGAAAGUUGGAAUUCGAAUUCCAAGUUCCAUGGAAAAUUUCGUGCAAUCAAACGGGGCCUUA
rnacentral:lncRNA from 1 species